AGCUCUGAAGUAUUAUACGUUAAGAUUGCAAAUCUUAAGUUGCAGGGUAAAGCCUGCCGGGGCUU
rnacentral:tRNA from 1 species